rnacentral:lncRNA from 1 species
AUGAACUGCCCAGAGAGGGAGCUCAAACCUGAAAAAUCAAGGUUAGCAUUCUCCAAACGUAAACAUUUUCAACAGGAGACACAGCAAAACAUGAAAGGAAAGCUUUCAGCCCUAACCCCAGAGAGCACUGACAAUUUCGCACCGAAAGGACGUCCUGGUUUCCGGCAGAAUCACCAGCACCGCCACCACAACAAAAAAAGAGCAAACUGUGUAAUCUUCAUCUCCUGAAUCCCGCUUUCCAGGACUGGUUUCCUGAAUGGCUGGCUGCGUUUUACCCUGGACCUGGCCCCCGGACACUUUCAAGCCUUGAUCAUCCUGAGGCUUUUCCUCUCUUCGAUCCUUCUGCUCUCCAGUUUACGCACCUCCAGAGCCCGGAGCACCCGCCCCGGCAGCGGCAGCGGCAGCGGCGGCGCGGCGGCGGCGCGGCGGCGGCGGCGGCGGCGGC